rnacentral:rRNA from 1 species
AUUGAACGCUGGCGGCAGGCCUAACACAUGCAAGUCGAACGAGUUGCGGACGGGUGAGUAAUUUCUGGGAAACUGCCUGAUUGAGGGGGAUAACUCCUGGAAACGGUAGCUAAUCCCGCAUACCAUCAGAUGUGCCCAGAUGGGAUUAGCUUGUUGGUGGGGUACCGGCUCACCAAGGCGACGAUCCCUAGCUGGUCUGAGAGGAUGACCAGCAACACUGGAACUGAGACACGGUCCAGAGUCCGACGGGAGGCAGCAGGGGGGAAUAAUGGACAAGGGCGCAAGCCUGAUACAGCCAUGCCGCGUGUAUGAAGAAGGGCUUCGGGUUGUAAAGUACUUUCAGCGGGGAGGCGUUACCCGCAGAAGAAGCACCGGCUAACUCCGUGCCAGCAGCCGCGGUAAUUC